rnacentral:rRNA from 1 species
CAGUCGCCGCGGUAAACGAAGGGGGCUAGCGUUGUUCGGAUUUACUGGGCGUAAAGCGCACGUAGGCGGAUCCUUAAGUCAGAGGUGAAAUCCCAAGGCUCAACCUUGGAACUGCCUUUGAUACUGGGGAUCUCGAGUUCGGGAGAGGUGAGUGGAACUGCGAGCGUAGAGGUGAAAUUCGUAGAUAUUCGCAAGAACACCAGUGGCGAAGGCGGCUCACUGGCCCGGAACUGACGCUGAGGUGCGAAAGCGUGGGGAGCAAACAGGAUUAGAUACCCCCGUAGUCCCUGUCUCUUAUACA